AAUGUAACUCUUCAUUCAGUUCAGUCACUCAGUUGUGUCUGACUCUUUGUAACCCCAUGGACCACAGCACACCAGGCCUCCCUGUCCAUCACCAACUCCCGAAGACUACUCAAACUUAUCUCCUUUUUGCGUUGGUGAUGCCAUCCAACCAUCUCAUCCUCUGUUGUCCCCUUGUCCUCCUGCCUUCAAUCAUUC